UACAGAGGUCCCGAGCGUUGUUCGGAUUCAUUGGGCGUAAAGGGUGUGUAGGUGGCGCCGUAAGUCGGGUGUGAAAUCUCGGGGCUUAACUCCGAAACUGCAUUCGAUACUGCGGUGCUUGAGGACUGGAGAGGAGACUGGAAUUCAUGGUGUAGCAGUGAAAUGCGUAGAGAUCAUGAGGAAGACCAGUGGCGAAGGCGGGUCUCUGGACAGUUCCUGACACUGAGACACGAAGGCCAGGGGAGCAAACGGG
rnacentral:rRNA from 1 species